rnacentral:rRNA from 1 species
UACAGAGGGGGCGAGCGUUGGUCGGAAUUACUGGGCGUAAAGGGCGCGUAGGCGGCCCGCUAAGUCGAACGUGAAAUCCCCAGGCUCAACCUGGGAACUGCGUCCGAUACUGGCAGGCUUGAAUCCGGGAGAGGGAUGUGGAAUUCCAGGUGUAGCGGUGAAAUGCGUAGAUAUCUGGAGGAACACCGGUGGCGAAGGCGGCAUCCUGGACCGGUAUUGACGCUGAGGCGCGAAAGCUAGGGGAGCAAACAGG